GCUUACGGCCACACCGCCUGGUAUAUGCUUGAUCUCGGAAGAUAAGGUAAGUUGGGCCUGGUUAGUACUUGGAUGGGAGACCGCCUGGGAAUACCAGGUGCUGUAAGCU
ensembl:rRNA 5S_rRNA 5S ribosomal RNA